rnacentral:rRNA from 1 species
GAAGCGGGACCGGCUCAAUGUGUGAAUCUGGCUUGGGGUAGAUCCCUGGUCCGAGUUGUGCACUAUGGACGUUUCGUCUGCGUUUGUAAUGGCGGUGGAAGUCCGUUGAAACACGGCACCUCAGAGGGUCACAGUCCUGUACCACCUGCCUGCACUCGCGCCAAUGACAAGCGCUCCUCGAGUCGCGUAGUUUUGUAAUGCUGCGCCAAGUGGGAGGUAGAGACCUUCUAAGGCUAAAUAUGAUGACGUGACCGAUAGCACACAAGUACCGCGAGGGAAAGGUGAAAAGCAACCAUGAAAAAUGGGUUGAAACAGUAGUGAAAGCGCUACCGGGAUAAGGGCUAUCGGGUGCUGGGGCUUCUUGGGUGUGCUUCAGUGCUACCCUUGGAGACGGCCCGCGUGGGUUGAUGUUGGGGCGAUAGACGCGCCGUUGGAAUUCAGCUGUCUUCGGGCAGUGUUGUAGCCUUCGGUUGCCGAUCCUCCUGCGAC